UACAGAGGUCUCAAGCGUUGUUCGGAUUCAUUGGGCGUAAAGGGUGCGUAGGUGGCGCUGUAAGUCGGGUGUGAAAUUUCGGAGCUUAACUCCGAAACUGCAUUCGAUACUGCGGUGCUUGAGGACUGGAGAGGUGACUGGAAUUCAUGGUGUAGCAGUGAAAUGCGUAGAGAUCAUGAGGAAGACCAGUGGCGAAGGCGGGUCUCUGGGCCACUACUGACGCUGAGAAGCGAAAGCAUGGGGAGCGAACAGG
rnacentral:rRNA from 1 species